UGUAGACUGGUGCAGGGCGUGAGGCUCUGUCACAGCUCCUGCCUCUGGUGGCCUUGUCUGCUGGCUCACCUUGUUGGUGUGGGCAGCCGCUGGGUCACUGCUCCUCCAGUCCCGACUGGAGCCUCUUUCAGCUUCUUUAGGAUACCGACUUCCUUGAAUUUGGAGACUUUUGAUUCCAAUCUGUCCUUUGGUUCCAGCUUCGUGCUCGUGGCUUCCAGUUUGUCUUUGCUGUCCCCCAUCUUCACUUCCAGAUUACCUGCCCUACACACUUCAGGCUGCAGGACCAGCAGUACAUAGACUGUUUAACCAGCUCCCCAAAUUAUUUAGUGACUAUAAGUCCCUAUUUUACAUUGCUCCUAGUGGUGCUGUUUCUUCUCUGAUUGAACCCUAACAGAUACACUGGAACAGAGAGAGGACACUCCAUCUAAGAACAGACAAUGGACAAGCCAAGAGGGAUCCAGGAACUAAGCCUGAAGGAGAAAAAAAACGUGCUGGAGACUCAAGAUGUUCUGGCUGAGAAAACCAGGGGCUGUUAGGGUGACGCACUCUUCAGGGGAAGAAAGAUCAACCAAACUGUGGUGACUUUUUGUGCCAUCCUCAACGCAGGGUCACACAAGCACCAUCAAUUUCAAGGAUGGAUGUUAACAAGCCUGCCUGGUCUGAGCUCAGCCCCUCCACUUACCAGCUGGGGGACCUUGAGCAAGUCACUUACUGGGUCUUUGCUUCAGUUCACUCAUACGUAAAAUGGAGAUGAAAUUGUACCUACCUCAUUGGUUGCUGGGAGAGUUACAAGAGUUAAUACUGUAAAUAUCUGUAAAGGAUUAUCCUCGGCACAUAGUACUAAGUUUCUUCUGUUUACUUGUAGGAAACAUUCGUAUUUACAGGUAACUCAGGUCUUACCUAUGUCUCUGGAGUGUACCUCUCCCCUACCACCCCCACCAUCUGCCCUAGGAAUUCCCCUUGCCCAUCUUGCAAGCACUCUCCUUCUCAUCUCCCUCACUUAAAACCCCACUGUCAGCUCUUAUAGAGGGAGUCAUUUGAGAAGCACACCAACCCUCCUCUGGGUCUUCUCUCCCCUGACCUCGCCUUCUAGAAACCAAUUAUCAGCACCUUGAAUUCAAAGUUCAAAUGAUCCUCCUGUGAGGUCUGAGCGGCUAUGAUGGGGGAUGUGAGGGAGGCAGCACUGGGAGCCUUUUCUUGCCCUUAUCACUAACUUAUUGAGCAUCUGCUGUAUGCCAUGCAGUCCACCAGGCACAUUCCAUAUAAUGCUUCACUCAGUCUUCCAACAACAUGUUGGGUGAUACCAUCUUUGUUUCACAGGAGAUGUAGUUGAAGCUAAGAGAGGUUAGGUAAUUGCUCAAGAUCACAUGGCCAAAGAGUCGUGGGAUCAGAAUAGGAAACCGGUCCACGUGGGAUGCACAGCCCUAGCCAGCACUUUCCCCUCCAAAUCCUGCCCUUCAACUCCCUAGUCAUUGUCAGAAAAUCUUGAAAGGCAUGUGCACUGCUUUAGGGACAGGAGAGAAGGGGAAAAGAGAUGAGGCUGAGUUCUGUGGGGGCUAAGGAGCAGAGAAGCAGAGAAGUGUGAGAAGCGUCCAGAGGAAUAUGUCCGUAAUUGUUUUUCUUCUGUAGCUUUCUCUUCCUUCAUCCCCUGUUUUGACCUUGGUCAAAAGCCACCAAGUUCAGACAGCGCAAAAACAAUUGUCGAGGACAACAAGAAGGGCAGGUGGUUCAUCCCAAUCACCUAGAAGGUUUUAGACCUCUCUCAAACUUUCUCCACUGAUGAGGAGGAACCACAGAAACCACGUGGAAAACACUUCGAGUAUUUUGAAUGACUAUUUUCUCAAUUCUCCCAGGAUGCUACGUAACUAAUGACUAUUUUCUCAAUUCUCCCAGGAUGCUACGUAACUAGUCCCAUGCUGGAUACAUAGGAGCGAAGUUGAAAUUCAUUACAUACAUAUGUCUUAGGACAACAAGAUUGGAUUCUGUCAGAAAAGAGUCUAUUUACUUAAGAAUAGCACAAUGUAUAUCAUAAUAAACUCCUGUAAACACAUCACUCAUCUUCAACAGCUAGCAACAAUUUGUCAAUUUUGUUUCAUCUUUUCCUUGAGACAUCAUGAAUGUCACCCAUAAAUACAUGAAUAUACAUCUCUUCCUGGAAAGACCUUUUAAAACAUCAUCAUUAUUCCAUUAUUGCACCUCACAAAAAAUAAUAAAUUCCUAACAUCUAAAACAGUAAACUAAUGUCAAUAGGAUUUGCAAUAAAUUAAUAACAUGAGAUACUCAAAUCAUAUUCAAAUUUCCUUAUUCUCCCAAAAAUGGUUUUUUAGAGGUUUUUUAUGUGGCCGGCUUAGCCACAAAUAAAGGCAAAGAAUCUGGUUAUGACACACAUGAUGUCUGUCCUCCUCUUCCUCGCUUUAUUCAUUCAACAAAUAUCUAUUGAUUGCCUACGGUGUGCCUGGCCCUGAAUAAGGGCUUUUAUUAAAAGCCUCAGGUCCUGUCCUUGAGAACUGAUAUGUCACCUGCUCGCUUCCCUGGCUUGGACCUGCACUCCCACCCCCAGUUUUCAUUUUUUUUCCCUAAGAACUUUCUUUAGGAGUUAGUUCAGCCCAAACCGGAAACUCCAGGUACCAGAUUGUUAAAUCUCAGGGUCUUUAGACAACUUCUAGUACAAUGUUUCUCAAACUGAUUUCUCCAACUGUAUUCUUGAGUUACGAAUAUAGUGAACACAUUCACUAUUAAGAAUAUAUCUAUAUAGAAUAGAGCUAAGAGUAUUCUGGCUGGGAAAACACUGCCUCAAGAAAUGAAAGACAAUCUAUAAAACUUUCAGUUGUGUAUUGUUACUAAAAUAUAUGAGUUUUAUCUUUAUAACUGAUAAAAUAAUUCUACCAAAAUAAAAUCAUAAAUGUGGA